rnacentral:rRNA from 1 species
GUCAGCCGCCGCGGGAACACCGGCGGCCCGAGUGGUGAUCGUGAUUAUUGGGUCUAAAGGGUCCGUAGCCGGUUUGGUCAGUCCUCCGGGAAAUCUGAUAGCUCAACUAUUAGGCUUUCGGGGGAUACUGCCAGACCUGGAACCGGGAGAGGUAAGAGGUACUACAGGGGUAGGAGUGAAAUCUUGUAAUCCCUGUGGGACCACCUGUGGCGAAGGCGUCUUACCAGAACGGGUUCGACGGUGAGGGACGAAAGCUGGGGGGCACGAACCGGAUUAGAUACCCGGGUAGUCCCAGCCGUAAACGAUGCUCGCUAGGUGUCAGGCAUGGCGCGACCGUGUCUGGUGCCGCAGGGAAGCCGUGAAGCGAGCCACCUGGGAAGUACGGCCGCAAGGCUGAAACUUAAAGGAAUUGGCGGGGGAGCACAACAACGGGUGGAGCCCUGCGGUUUAAUUGGACUCAACGCCGGACAACUCACCGGGGGCGACAGCAAUAUGUAGGCCAAGCUGAAGACUUUGCCUGAAUCGCUGAGAAGAGGUGCAUGG